rnacentral:rRNA from 1 species
AGAGACAGCAGUCGCCACGGUAAUACGUAGGUGGCAAGCGUUGUCCGGAAUUAUUGGGCGUAAAGCGAGCGCAGGCGGUUAGAUAAGUCUGAAGUUAAAGGCUGUGGCUUAACCAUAGUAUGCUUUGGAAACUGUUUAACUUGAGUGCAGAAGGGGAGAGUGGAAUUCCAUGUGUAGCGGUGAAAUGCGUAGAUAUAUGGAGGAACACCGGUGGCGAAAGCGGUUCUCUGGCUUGUAACUGACGCUGAGGCUCGAAAGCGUGGGGAGCAAACAGGAUUAGAUACCCCUGUAGUCCAUGUCUCUUAUACA